rnacentral:rRNA from 1 species
AUGCCCAAGCCUAACAACAGCAACAAUGCGUUGGGAGAUGGCGUUUACCUGUGCGGCAGCGAGGAUGAUAGUGAUGACACCUAUAGAAUUGUUUUCUGUGUUGCUACAUUAUCAGUCCAAAAAGGUCCCACACAGCCUCUCAAGACCUUGUCAUUGUCUCUGAACCUGGUGGUCUUCGUGGCCCUGCUUGAACCUUCAUGGCUCAGGCCGUUCAUUACCUCCACCCCGAGGUCGUUCGACGAUGCAGCGCUCAAGCCGUUCACCCUUACCACCACAAGCCGUUCACCUCCGCCACACGAGGCAGUGCGA